rnacentral:rRNA from 1 species
UACGAAGGGGGCUAGCGUUGCUCGGAAUCACUGGGCGUAAAGCGCACGUAGGCGGCUUUUUAAGUCAGGGGUGAAAUCCUGGAGCUCAACUCCAGAACUGCCUUUGAUACUGAGAAGCUUGAGUCCGGGAGAGGUGAGUGGAACUGCGAGUGUAGAGGUGAAAUUCGUAGAUAUUCGCAAGAACACCAGUGGCGAAGGCGACUACCUGGCCUGUUCUUGACGCUGAGGCGCGAAAGCUAGGGGAGCAAACGGG